rnacentral:rRNA from 1 species
AUGGAUUCGACCGGGGCCUCGGGGUCAUCUGUGGUCAGCGAUGUUGAAGCAAUGAUGAAGGAGCUGGGGCUGUGUGAAGAGGAUUUGGAUGACGUUGUGGUUGAUGAGAAGGAGGUGCCAAAGGAGGCGGCGAGAUGGGUCGCCCUCGCUAGGGUUAAUACCAACAAAACCUACAUCAAGACUUGGUUCUAUCGCAACAUGAGAGCUGCCUGGGAUAUUGCGCAAGAAUCAAAGUUCAGACCUUUAGAGGAUAAUCUGUAUACUGUGCAAUUUACAUGCUUAGGUGAUUGGGAGUGGGUCAUGCAAGAUGGACCUUGGAACUUCCGAGGUGACGCGGUGACCCUAGUGCCAUAUGAUGGAGUCACCAAGCCGUCCCUGAUCAAGCUUGACUAUGUGGACAUCUGGGCUCAGAUACAUGAUGUGCCUGACCUCUAUGCGCAUCUAGUCGGCCCACUUGCUUCCAAGGUGGGAGAGGUACUGCAUGUGGAGCAGCCAUCACAUGAUUUCACGGGGAAUUUUUACCGCGUCUGGGUUCAUAUCAAGGUAGAUAAACCUCUCAAGAAUGCAGUUUCGAUGAUUAGAGAUGGCAAGCGCCAAAUCUACAGAGUUAAGUACGAGAGGUUGCCGGACUGGUGCGCGAUCUGUGGCAUGUUGGGACACCUUUUCAAGGAGCAUGGUGAUGGCAUACAUCAUCCCUCGGCGCUGGUUUUUAAAGAUCUGAGAGCUAGCUGGUACCUGCGAUCUGGAAAGGGACCUAGAGAAGGUAGAGGACGCCGGGGGGGGGGGUCGCCGUGGUGGCCGAUCUGGUGGUCGCACAAAGUCCUAUGA